rnacentral:ncRNA from 1 species
UGUCUACUCAUUGAAGCAGACAGUGGAUGCCUUGGUAUCAGAGGCCGAAGAAGGACGCGCGUGGCCGCGAUAGUCGUCGGGGAGUUGCCAAGAAGCGGUGAUCCGGCGGUGUCCGAAUGGGGAAACCCCGCCUUGCGUAAGCAGGGCGAGCCCCGCCUUUUGGUGGGGUAGGGAACCAUCCGAACUGAAAUAUCUCAGUAAGAUGAGGAAAAGAAAUCGAACAGAUGCCCUUAGUAAGCGACGAGCGAAACGGGCAGAGCCCAAACUCCUUGUGCUUCGCACAAGGAAAUUCGAAGCACGAAUCUCGAAGCACGAAACAAUUGCAAACUCAAAUGUUUAAAAAUUCAAAACUCUUGUUUUGGUCAUUUGGAUUUCGAUAUUUGAAUUUGUUUCGAAUUUCGAAUUUAGGAUUUCGGAUUUCCUCAUGCGGAGCAUGAGGGGGGUUGUAGGACUCCCAUCGUGGAGGUCGGAGAAUAGCAGAAGACCGUGGAAUAGGUUGCCAAAGAACGUGAAAGCCGUGUAUGCGAAAUUCGAAGAUCACUAGGGAUGUUCCUGAGUACCAUGGGAGACGGCAAACUCCUUUGGGAAGCUGGGGAGACCACUCUCCAAGGCUAAAUACCUCUGAUGACCGAUAGUGAACAAGUACCGUGAGGGAAAGGUGAAAAGAAGGGUGAGAAACCCAGUGAAAUAGUACCUGAAACUGUUUGCUAACGAACAGACAGAGCUCGUGCCUAGCACGGGUAAUGUCGUGCCUAUUGAAGAAUGAACCGGCGAGUAUACGUUCAUCGCUAGUCUAAACCAGUUUCUGGUGAAGGCGUAGCGAAAGCGAGUCUGAAUAGGGCGUUUAGCGCUGGACGUAUGGCCCGAAACCGGGCGAGCUAACCAUGGGCAGGGUGAACUCCGCCGAAAGGCGGAGGGAAGCCCGAACCGUUAUGGGUUGCAAGCCAUUCGGAUGACCUGUGGUUGGAAGCAAAAUACUUAACGAGCCCGGAGAUAGCUGGUUCUCCCCGAAAUAUAUCUAGGUAUAGGCUUUUCACUUUAACCGGUGGGGUAGAGCACUGCAUGGAUGUUGGCGGGAAACCGCCGAUAUUCAAGCAAACUUCGAAUACGCCGGCGUAUGUGAGAGGACUCAGCGGACUAGGGCUAAGCUUAGUUUGCUAGAGGGAAACAACCCAGACCUUCGUCUAAGGCCUCUAAAUCUCUGCUAAGUCAAAGGAAGUCAUCUACCUCAGACAUCCAGGAGGUCGGCUCAGAAGCAGCCAUCCUUAAAAGAAAGCGUAACAGCUCACUGGCCGAGGGAGGUGGCGCCGAAAAUAUACGAGGAUAAGCAGGGUGCCGAAGACAGGGAUCCUGUGCUUUGCACAGGGUGGUAGGGGAGCGUCCCGCCUACGGUGAAGGUGGACCGUAAGGUAACUGCUGGAGUUGGCGGGAGUGAGAAUGCCGGUAUGAGUAGCGUGAAACCGGUGAGAAUCCGGUUCGCCGAAAGCCCAAGGGUUCCGAAGCAACGUUCGUCGACUUCGGGUUAGGCGGUCCUAAGGUGAGGCCAUAUGGCGUAGCCGAUGGAAAACGGGUUGAUAUUCCCGUU